rnacentral:rRNA from 1 species
UACAGAGGUCUCAAGCGUUGUUCGGAUUCACUGGGCGUAAAGGGUGCGUAGGGGGCUUGGUAAGUCAGAUGUGAAAGUUUGUCGCUUAACGACAAGAUUGCAUUCGAUACUACUAGGCUAGAGGACUGGAUGGGAGAGCGGAAUUCUUGGUGUAGCGGUGAAAUGCGUAGAUAUCAAGAGGAACGCCGAUGGCGAAAGCAGCUCUCUGGAAAGUUCCUGACCCUGAGGCACGAAGGCUAGGGUAGCAAACGGG